ensembl:lncRNA
CUCGGCCUGUUUUCAAGCCGGGCUGUCGGUCUUCUGCACUCAGACUGGAACUUACACCAGUGGCUCGCCCAGGCCUCCAGCUUGCCGACUGCUGAUUUUUGGACUUGACAGCCUCCACCUCCACAGCGGCAUGAAAAAUUCCUCAUCAUCAAUCUCUCUAUGCAUAUAUCCUAUCUAUCCUUUCGGUUCUAUUUCUCUGGGGACCCCUAGAACAACACGCAAGGUGAGAGGCCCUUGAGGAGGACUGACUGUGGCUCGCUGGUCUAAAGCUCUAAGCUGCUACUGCUGCUGACUCCAGCUCUGCAGAAGAUACAGUGGUGACAUCUCCUGGGGACCGCGCCGUCGGUGCUCCAGCUUUCAGGAAGCUCCCGCCUUGGGGUGAACAGACAGCAGGUAAAGAAGCCUCAUGCAGGGCAGCAGGGGAUACCCUGGAGAGGAAAGCGAGGCAAGAAACAGACACUGUGCCAGUGGCUCCUGAAGGGAUGCACACUCGGGGAUCUCGGAGAGGGUCCAGGCUUGGACAGCCAUGCUCCCAGACAAGAGCUUCUGCUGUGCUCCCAGAUGAGAGCCAGAGCCCCACCUGUCAGGAGGCCACACUCAUGCCCAGGACUUCUGGGCCUCGGCAGUGCUCCCAAGGGUGUGGCACCAGGUGCAGCAGGGCAGCGUUUGACUCGGAGCCUGAGACAUGUAUCUGAUACAAAUGGGGCUGUUCUGGAUGAGGGAGGGGGCACCCAGCCCCCAAGUCCGGCUCCCCAGCUCCCUGACUGCCCUGGCUCUGCUGAGCACCUUCGAGACCAUAUUGGAAGCUCUCAGCGAGGCUCCUGGACCCUGGCAUCCCCGAAACCCCCUGAGGGACCCACUUUGCCAGCUGCAUGUCUGUGUCGCACGGAACUGUCUCCUUGCUCUGCAAGCAGGUGGAAUGCAGGAGCAGGCAGGAAAAUCCAACUCUUCCGAGUCAGACACUCGAGAGCUCUGCAGACACGAAGACAAUGCCACGCCGCCCCCUAAAUGCUUUUUGUUUUGGAAAAUACAGCUGUUUGUCAUAAGAUAACCGGAAGCAGCAGAGAAAACAUCUGAAGUGCUUCCUGGACACACUGGUUAGGAAGUUUCUGCAAGAACCCAGCUGCCUCCCGGGCUGCCCAGGUCAGGUGCUGAGAACACAAAAGAAAAUGAGACAAAGUCGCCACCCUGGAGUUUACAAGCUGGCGUGGGAGACAGGCUGGCACUGAGGACGACGGUGGAGAGACAGGGAGAGGCAGUGGAGAGACACCGGAAGAACCAGAGGUGCUGGGGAAGCCGGGUCAGCAGAGAGACCCCAGCAGAGUGGGAGCCGGAGGACGGCGGCGACUGCAGCCGACUGUUUCAGGUGGCGUCCUCGUCACGAGAGGACCUUGAGCGGUCAUGGGCUUCCUGGGAACCUGCCUACAGAGGAAACGAUUACUGGGUGCGGAUGUCUUGAACAUUUAUUGCAUUCCACGUUGUCAGUCAAUAAAACAGCUUUGCCAGCGUAAUACUGACAAAAUCAAGUUCAGGCUGUAAGCCCAAGGGCUUCCAAGAAAAGUGGAUCUGGUGUCCAGUGGGGGCACUGCCUGGUUCCCAGGCGGAGUCCAAACUGCAGGGAGAAACAAGGACCCUGCGGGAAGAAGGGACCUGCCCGACUGGUUCCCCCGCACCCACGUCAGGAAUUUUCCCAGAAAGCCAUCCACUUUGUUAGACGCAAAAUAAAGGUCAUUUGGAG